rnacentral:rRNA from 1 species
GUAGGUGGCAAGCGUUGUCCGGAAUUAUUGGGCGUAAAGCGCGCGCAGGCGGGUUUUUAAGUCCGAUGUGAAAGCCCACGGGCUCAACCGUGGAGGGUCAUUGGAAACUGGAGAACUUGAGUACAGAAGAGGAAAGCGGAAUUCCACGUGUAGCGGUGAAAUGCGUAGAGAUGUGGAGGAACACCAGUGGCGAAGACGGCUUUCUGGUCUGUAACUGACGCUGAGGCGCGAAAGCGUGGGGAGCAAACAGGAUUAGAUACCCUGGUAGUCCACGCCGUAAACGAUGAGUGCUAAGUGUUAGGGGGUUUCCGCCCCUUAGUGCUGCAGCUAACGCAUUAAGCACUCCGCCUGGGGAGUACGGCCGCAAAGGCUG